CAGCCAAAUCACACUGAAAGACCGAUUCUCAUACGAUCAUCGAAGUUAAGUAACAUUGAGUGUAGUCAGUACCUAGAUGGGUGACCACUUGGGAAUAUCAGCUUC